UAGAGUUUGAUCAUGGCUCAGAUUGAACGCUGGCGGCAGGCCUAACACAUGCAAGUCGAGCGGUAACAGGAAUUAGCUUGCUAAUUCGCUGACGAGCGGCGGACGGGUGAGUAAUGCCUGGGGAUAUGCCUUAGUGUGGGGGAUAACUAUUGGAAACGAUAGCUAAUACCGCAUAAUGUCUUCGGACCAAAGAGGGGGAUCUUCGGACCUCUCGCGCUAAGAUUAGCCCAGGUGAGAUUAGCUUGUUGGUGAGGUAAGAGCUCACCAAGGCGACGAUCUCUAGCUGGUCUGAGAGGAUGAUCAGCCACACUGGAACUGAGACACGGUCCAGACUCCUACGGGAGGCAGCAGUGGGGAAUAUUGCACAAUGGGCGAAAGCCUGAUGCAGCCAUGCCGCGUGUAUGAAGAAGGCCUUCGGGUUGUAAAGUACUUUCAGUCGUGAGGAAGGGUGUGUAGUUAAUAGCUGCACAUCUUGACGUUAGCGACAGAAGAAGCACCGGCUAACUCCGUGCCAGCAGCCGCGGUAAUACGGAGGGUGCGAGCGUUAAUCGGAAUUACUGGGCGUAAAGCGCAUGCAGGUGGUUCAUUAAGUCAGAUGUGAAAGCCCGGGGCUCAACCUCGGAACCGCAUUUGAAACUGGUGAACUAGAGUACUGUAGAGGGGGGUAGAAUUUCA
rnacentral:rRNA from 1 species